GUCUACGACCAUACCACGUUGAAAGCACGACAUCUCGUCGGGUCUGUCAAGUUAAGCAACGUUGGGCCUGGUUAGUACUUGGAUCGGAGACGGCCUGGGAAUCCCAGGUGUUGUAGACA
rfam:Brugia malayi, FR3, WGS project CAPY01000000 data, contig: ctg1511111